GACGAACGCUGGCGGCGUGCCUAAUACAUGCCAGUUGAGCGCUGAAGGUUGGUACUUGUACCAACUGGAUGAGCAGCGAACGGGUGAGUAACGCGUGGGGAAUCUGCCUUUGAGCGGGGGACAACAUUUGGAAACGAAUGCUAAUACCGCAUAAAAACUUUAAACACAAGUUUUAAGUUUGAAAGAUGCAAUUGCAUCACUCAAAGAUGAUCCCGCGUUGUAUUAGCUAGUUGGUGAGGUAAGGGCUCACCAAGGCGAUGAUACAUAGCCGACCUGAGAGGGUGAUCGGCAACAUUGGGACUGAGACACGGCCCAAACUCCUACGGGAGGCAGCAGUAGGGAAUCUUCGGCAAUGGACGAAAGUCUGACCGAGCAACGCCGCGGGAGUGAAGAAGGUUGUCGGAUCGUAAAACUCGGUUGGUAGAGAAGAACGUUGGUGAGAGUGGAAAGCUCAUCAAGUGACGGUAACUACCCAGAAAGGGACGGCUAACUACGUG
rnacentral:rRNA from 1 species